AUAUGUGUGUACUGAGUGAAAUUUUCGAUUUUGCUCCGGUCGCCUGCGCAGGCUCAAAAAACUGCACAGGUCUAUUCCCAUACACGUUCCG